AGCUGACGUCAAAAAAUAAAUAACAAAAGCAAAUAAAUAUGAAUGCGAAUGUAUGUGUUUGUUUUUGAAAUAGUUGGAAAUUAUUAAAAACAAGCAAAAAAGCAAAAACAAUUGCUAUGAAAAAUUUACGAAUUAAAAGUCGCUGAAAACUGAACUCAUUAAAAGUCGCUCUCAAGCUUUUAAUAUCGAAUUUAACGCCUUAACCGAAGAUGCUGUGCGCAUAUGUGUACAGCGGAUUUACCGGUGACGAGUUACGCUGCAAUAUUCAAUCAACAACUUCUUCACAUGAAAAUUCCAUUGGAAAAAAAUUUCAUGAAAGGCCUAAAAGCGAGUGAGCUAAGAAAAAUAAGCUUAUAUAUUUUCAAAGGCAUUCAAGAGACCUUAAUCCCGGCUCAGAUGUACACCGACGCGUCUUUGGACUUACGCAUGCGCAGCUCAAGCAACAUUUCAACAACUCGCAUAUCACAUGUAAAGCUAACAGACAAUUCUAUGACAUUUUGGUUUCAAAAAUUAAAAGUACAACUUGUAUAAAUAUAAAAAAAUUUAAUAAAUUUCAGAGCAUUAACUAAUAAAGAUUAGUGGGGCUGCUUCUUAGCAACUGACA